rnacentral:lncRNA from 1 species
ACUGAACCAGGUGCUCCACAGGGCGCAGCUUUAUACGACCGCAGAGGUCGAACCCUGAACAGUUGGGGCAAGUAUGGACAAAACAUUCAAGCUUGAUUCAGCUCUGAAUUUGGAUUGUGAUCAAAUUUUUGACAUUAUAUGGGUUUUUUACACAAAAAAAAUGUCAAGAUCUUACAAAUCAAUUAAAGAUUUCUUCUUCAAACUUAUUUAAAUUUAAAAUUAAAUAGUUGACACAGCAUAGGUUUCUGACACAGAAUGAAUGUGGUCUAAUGAACUUAAAUUUUUUUUUGCCUUUGAGCAAUUCACUAUGCUGUUGAAUAUUAAUCCUCACAAAAAAAUGUUUGAAGAAAUUUUCUUUUUAAUUAUGAAAUCUGAAAUGAGAACCAGGUGCUCCGCAGGGCGCAGCUUUAUACGACCGCAGAGGUCGAACCCUGAACAGUUGGGGCAAGUAUGGACAAAACAUUCAAGCGUGAUACAGCUCUGAAUUUGGAUUGUGAUCAAAUUUUUGACAUUACAUGGGUUUUUUUUACACAAAACAAAUGUCAAGAUUUUACAAAUCAAUUAAAGAUUUCUUCUUCAAACUUUUUAAAUCUAAAAUUAAAUAGUUGACACAGAAUGAAUGUGGUCUAAUGAACUUAAAAGUUUUUUUUUGCCUUUGAGCAAUUCACUAUGCUGUUGAAUAUUAAUCCUCUCAAAAAAAUGUUUGAAGAAAUUUUCUUUUUAUUUAUGAAAUCUGAAAUGAGAAAAAAUUAACCCCCCCCCUUUUUUUUUCACAUCCCCGUUUCCCUUUUUCCAAAACUGAUAUCAAUUCAAAUUUCUAAUGGAGUUUGCAACAAUA